rnacentral:rRNA from 1 species
ACCUGCGGAAGGAUCAUUGCCAUGACCCUGACCAAAAUAGACUGUGAAUGUGUUAUCCAUGCAGCUGAUUGAUGGACCUUGCACCGUCUCUUGGCAUAGGCCCCGGUCCCUUCCUCUGGAGGGGGUGGGCCUACAACAGAACCCACGGCGCCGGAUGGCGUCAAGGAACAAUAAAGUUGCUUGUUCGUGGCGCGGUCAGCCUGCUGGACGUGCCAUGUCAAGUGAUGCUAUCACAAUGCAUAUGACUCUCGGCAACGGAUAUCUUGGCUCUCGCAUCGAUGAAGAACGUAGCAAAAUGCGAUACUUGGUGUGAAUUGCAGAAUCCCGUGAACCAUUGAGUUUUUGAACGCAAGUUGCGCCCGAGGCAUCUUUGCUGAGGGCACGUCUGCUUGGGCGUCACGCCAAAAGACACUCCCUAUUCAUCCCAGUUUAGGAAGUGGUGCCUGGCCAUCCGUGCGACAUGAAGGGUGCGGUAGGCUGAAGUAGAGGCUGGUAGCUACGGUGGCAGUCACAGUCAAGGUGGAUGUGAUACGUUCUCUAGGAGCUGUGACAUGUGGACGAUGCUCUGGUGAUAGGACCCAUGGACUGAAGCGUUGAUAGCUCGGACAGCGACCCCAAGUCAGUCGGGAGUACCCGCUGAAUUUAAGCAUAUCAAUAAG